UCAGACACUCAUGCUUUGGACAAGAUCGUGGUUGUCGGGAUCGUGGCCGGGGCCUUGGCUGGCACUGCGCUGAUUGGAGCCCUGCUUUACUACGCUGUCUGUUGCUGGGGUCAAAGAGUGCCCCAGAGGGGGCCGAACUCUUCCCUACCUGUUUCUGCAAAGCAGUCGGCGGUCUGAAAUGGUCAACUAAAGCCUGGAAGCCAUUUUUGAUAUGUAGCAACGAUUGACAGUAAUGGAAAAGAAAUUGCUGUGAUUGAAAAAAGAAGGAAAGAAAGAAGGAAAUAAAUAUUUUUCCAUUGACAGGAAGGAGCACGCUGACACUUUUUAAAAUCAAAAUGAAAGAAAAGUUCUUUCUACCCUUCCUGUUCUUUUAGCUCAGAGGGGCUCCAGAUUGUCUAGAAAUACAUAUUCUGAGCUUUCAGCAACCAGUUGCACAUUGAACUACAUGCUCUUUUUGGGAGAAAAUAAAACAGAAAGUGGUUCUGCACCAGUUUGGAAUAUUUGCGUUUGAGCUUCUCCCCCACCUUGUGAUCUUACCUUUUCUAAAACAACACAAACUACUGGCAACACAAACUUCAACUGACGAGUCCGUCUAAACAUC